GAUGAACGCUGGCGGUGUGCCUAAUACAUGCAAGUCGAGCGAACAGACGAGGAGCUUGCUCCCCUGACGUUAGCGGCGGACGGGUGAGUAACACGUGGAUAACCUACCUAUAAGACUGGGAUAACUUCGGGAAACCGGAGCUACUACCGGAUCAUAUAUCGAACCGCAUGGUUCAAUAGUGAAAGACGGUUUUGCUGUCACUUAUAGAUGGAUCCGCGCCGCAUUAGCUAGUUGGUAAGGUAACGGCUUACCAAGGCAACGAUGCGUAGCCGACCUGAGAGGGUGAUCGGCCACACUGGAACUGAGACACGGUCCAGACUCCUACGGGAGGCAGCAGUAGGGAAUCUUCCGCAAUGGGCGAAAGCUUGACGGAGCAACGCCGCGUGAGUGAUGAAGGUCUUCGGAUCGUAAAACUCUGUUAUUAGGGAAGAACAAAUGUGUAAGUAACUAUGCACGUCUUGACGGUACCUAAUCAGAAAGCCACGGCUAACUACGUG
rnacentral:rRNA from 1 species